GCGAUGCCGGAGGAAGGCACAGCUGCUCUCGCUCCGCCCAGAACAGGGACAGCACACGUUCCGUGUGCACCGAUCCAGAAAGGUGCCGAGAAACCGUGAGUGGACCUGUUUGAACAGCCGUCCGUGUAGCAUGUUACCGCGCUACAGUGCUCUGCAAAGUGCUGCUGCAGGAAGCCACGCCGACGGCGUCAGGUUGGGCCAAGGAGCAAGUGACCCUGCCACGCUGCCUUCAGCCACAACGGCAAACCUGUCCCGUGCCACAGGAAACGGCAAGGUCUUUAUUGCUCAGCCACUGUUGCCUGCACAGGCAGCGGUACUGGAGGUACAGACUGCUGUGGGGGGACCAUUUUUACAGACCCGACACCUAACAUGACAAACUGAAGACACCUUGUUCCUUACAGAGGAAGCAGCCGCUCGAACAGACUAACGUACCCUCAGCACUGAGCAUACAGACAUGUGCACAUGUGGUAGGUUAUAUAAUUAUUUAU